rnacentral:rRNA from 1 species
CUUAACACAUGCAAGUCGAACGAGAACGGCUCUAGCUUGCUAGAGUGUUAGCUAAGUGGCGCACGGGUGAGUAAUAUAUAGUUAACCUGCCUCAAAGAAGAGAAUAAUUGUUGGAAACGACUUGUAAUGCUCUAUAUGCCUUUAUUACAUAAGUAAGCAAGGGAAACAUUUAUGGCUUUGAGAUGGGACUGUACGGUAUCAGAUAGUUGGUGAGGUAAUGGCUCACCAAGUCAAUGACGCCUAACUGGUUUGAGAGGAUGAUCAGUCACACUGGAACUGAGACACGGUCCAGACUCCUACGGGAGGCAGCAGUGGGGAAUAUUGCACAAUGGAGGAAACUCUGAUGCAGCAACGCCGCGUGGAGGAUGACACAUUUCGGUGCGUAAACUCCUUUUAUAUGAGAAGAUAAUGACGGUAUCAUAUGAAUAAGCACCGGCUAACUUCGU